UGGAGGGCAAGUCUGGUGCCAGCAGCCGCGGUAAUUCCAGCUCCAAUAGCGUAUAUUAAAGUUGUUGUGGUUAAAAAGCUCGCAGUUGAACCUUGGGCCUGGCUGGCCGGUCCGCCUCACCGCGUGUACUGGUCCGGCCGGGCCUUUCCCUCUGUGGAACCCUAUGCCCUUCACUGGGUGUAGCGGGGAAACAGGACUUUUACUUUGAAAAAAUUAGAGUGCUCCAGGCAGGCCUUUGCUCGAAUACAUUAGCAUGGAAUAAUAAAAUAGGACGUGUGGUUCUAUUUUGUUGGUUUCUAGGACCGCCGUAAUGAUUAAUAGGGAUAGUCGGGGGCGUCAGUAUUCAGCUGUCAGAGGUGAAAUUCUUGGAUUUGCUGAAGACUAACUACUGCGAAAGCAUUCGCCAAGGAUGUUUUCAUUAAUCAGGGAACGAAAGUUAGGGGAUCGAAGACGAUCAGAUACCGUCGUAGUCUUAACCAUAAACUAUGCCGACUAGGGAUCGGACGGGAUUCUAUGAUGACCCGUUUGGCGCCUUACGGGAAAC
rnacentral:rRNA from 1 species